rnacentral:rRNA from 1 species
UGAUCCUGGCUCAGAACGAACGCUGGCGGCAGGCCUAAUACAUGCAAGUCGAGCGCACCUUCGGGUGAGCGGCGGACGGGUUAGUAACGCGUGGGAAUAUGCCCAAAGGUACGGAAUAGCCUCUGGAAACGGAGAGUAAUACCGUAUGUGCCCUUCGGGGGAAAGAUUUAUCGCCUUUGGAUUAGCCCGCGUUGGAUUAGGUAGUUGGUGGGGUAAUGGCCUACCAAGCCUACGAUCCAUAGCUGGUUUGAGAGGAUGAUCAGCAACACUGGGACUGAGACACGGCCCAGACUCCUACGGGAGGCAGCAGUAGGGAAUCUUAGACAAUGGGCGAAAGCCUGAUCUAGCCAUGCCGCGUGAGUGAAGAAGGCCCUAGGGUCGUAAAGCUCUUUCGCCAGGGAUGAUAAUGACAGUACCUGGUAAAGAAACCCCGGCUAACUCCGUGCCAGCAGCCGCGGUAAUACGGAGGGGGCUAGCGUUGUUCGGAAUUACUGGGCGUAAAGCGUACGUAGGCGGAUUAGUCAGUCAGAGGUGAAAUCCCAGGGCUCAACCCUGGAACUGCCUUUGAUACUGCUAGUCUUGAGUUCGAGAGAGGUGAGUGGAAUUCCAAGUGUAGAGGUGAAAUUCGUAGAUAUUUGGAGGAACACCAGUGGCGAAGGCGGCUCACUGGCUCGAUACUGACGCUGAGGUACGAAAGUGUGGGGAGCAAACAGGAUUAGAUACCCUGGUAGUCCACACCGUAAACGAUGAAUGCCAGUCGUCGGGUUGCUUAGCGAUUCGGUGACACACCUAACGGAUUAAGCAUUCCGCCUGGGGAGUACGGUCGCAAGAUUAAAACUCAAAGGAAUUGACGGGGGCCCGCACGAGCGGUGGAGCAUGUGGUUUAAUUCGAUGCAACGCGAAGAACCUUACCUGGUCUUGACAUCCACGGAAGUUUUCAGAGAUGAGAAUGUGCCUUCGGGAACCGUGAGACAGGUGCUGCAUGGCUGUCGUCAGCUCGUGUUGUGAGAUGUUGGGUUAAGUCCCGCAACGAGCGCAACCCUCGUCCUUAGUUGCCAUCAUUCAGUUGGGCACUUUAAGGAAACUGCCGGUGAUAAGCCGGAGGAAGGUGGGGAUGACGUCAAGUCCUCAUGGCCCUUACAGGCUGGGCUACACACGUGCUACAAUGGCAUCUACAGUGAGCAGCGAUCCCGCGAGGGUUAGCUAAUCUCCAAAAGAUGUCUCAGUUCGGAUUGUUCUCUGCAACUCGAGAGCAUGAAGGCGGAAUCGCUAGUAAUCGCGGAUCAGCAUGCCGCGGUGAAUACGUUCCCAGGCCUUGUACACACCGCCCGUCACACCAUGGGAGUUGGAUUCACCCGAAGGCGGUGCGCUAACCUUUAGGAGGCAGCCGACCACGGUGGGUUCAGCGACUGGGGUGAAGUCGUAACAAGGUAACC